rnacentral:rRNA from 1 species
CGCUGAGUUUGAUCCUGGCUCAGGAUGAACGCUAGCGGCAGGCUUAACACAUGCAAGUCGAGGGGUAUAGUUCUUCGGAACUAGAGACCGGCGCACGGGUGCGUAACGCGUAUGCAAUCUACCUUUUACAGAGGGAUAGCCCAGAGAAAUUUGGAUUAAUACCUCAUAGUAUAGCUGUACCGCAUGGUACUACUAUUAAAGUCACAACGGUAAAAGAUGAGCAUGCGUCCCAUUAGCUAG